CCAGCCCGGGACUUCACCCACGGCAGCAGCGGGGCAGGCGCUGGGCUGCCCCUGCACAGCCCUCGCCUCCCCGCUGCGCUCUGCCCUGCGCUCAGCCGGCCCAGCUACAGCUGCACGUCCUCACUGCACACUCCUGAGAUGGGACAGGAGAACAGCAAACCCCAGCCUGGGGACCUGAUCGAGAUCGAUCAGCCAUUUCAUCAGCACUGGGCCCUCUACUUGGGGGUUGGAGUUGUCAUAAACUUGACACCUGUAGAUAAACCAAAGAUAAUGCUGGGAACCUACAACCUGCCGGUUUUUACCAGUACAGUGAAGAGGCAGCUCCUGAAAGAGGUGGUGGGAAAUCAUAAAUGGCAUGUCAACAACAAGUCUGAUGAGUACCAAACUCCUCUACCAGUG